UGGCGGACGGGUGAGUAAUGUCUGGGAAACUGCCUGAUGGAGGGGGAUAACUACUGGAAACGGUAGCUAAUACCGCAUAACGUCGCAAGACCAAAGAGGGGGACCUUCGGGCCUCUUGCCAUCGGAUGUGCCCAGAUGGGAUUAGCUAGUAGGUGGGGUAAAGGCUCACCUAGGCGACGAUCCCUAGCUGGUCUGAGAGGAUGACCAGCCACACUGGAACUGAGACACGGUCCAGACUCCUACGGGAGGCAGCAUGC
rnacentral:rRNA from 1 species